ensembl:lncRNA
CCGCUGAUUUGAACGUGUGAACUGAGAUCUUUACCGAAGGGAACAAAUGAAUUGUUUUGGUUUCUCAUGGAUUAUGCAAAAAGGAAACCGAUGAGGAAGGAGAAGAAUGAUACAAACUGUGGAGAAGAUGCCAUGAGCUCUUUCAAAAAGACCAACACUACUGCGGUGGGCACGAGGAGCAUGUGAAACCCAAAGGAAAUAUUUCCAGCUAAUCAUAAAGUCAAUGAGGUCGGAAUAAUGUAAAGCGAUCCAGAGCCCCUCAGGAUGCAAUGUGAAGCAAAGGGGCUGCUGUGUUGACCUGCAUCACUGACAUUUGCAUGCUAUAAAUCACACAAACCCAGUUCAUGACAGAUGUCUGAAUCAAACAGAUUUCAUUCAUUUUAUGUUUACAUUUGUCAUGUCUUUUUAAACUUAUUUUACACAAUGAUUUAUGCAACUUGAACUGGAAAUUGCUGAAAUGUAAUAUCUGAAACUCGGGUGUGUAAAGUCAAUGCAUGAUUUGAUGCACAUGACACAGGUUCUUCAGCGCAUGACAUAUUUCCAGUCUGUUAUCUCCUCAAGGUUAGAACACUAAAUGUGCAACUAAAAGAUAGUAAUUGAAGGCAGAGCAGACAUCCGAACACUGAAAGCACUGUGUUGUGUUUUGAUCACAUGUUAGGUUUGGGUUAAGCAGCAGGCGAGUUUGAUGCACUUAUAAGGGUGGGAGGAUUUAUGAUGACCCAUAAUCCAGGAAGGUCAUAAUUAAGAUAAUUACUGAUGUUCUUGACCUUGCUGGUGUGCCAGACAGCAUGACUUGGAUCUGUUGGUUUAUUUUUCUUGUGUCUGUGCAACUGCUUUUCUUAAAAAGUGCAAUAAGAAAUAUGAAAUUUUCUUUUGCCCUGUGAAGAGUGCUAAAUAU